rnacentral:rRNA from 1 species
UAACCUGCCCAAGAGAUCGGGAUAACACCUGGAAACAGAUGCUAAUACCGGAUAACAACAGAUGAUGCCUAUCAACUGUUUAAAAGAUGGUUCUGCUAUCACUCUUGGAUGGACCUGCGGUGCAUUAGCUAGUUGGUAGGGUAACGGCCUACCAAGGCGAUGAUGCAUAGUCGAGUUGAGAGACUGAUCGGCCACAUUGGGACUGAGACACGGCCCAAACUCCUACGGGAGGCAGCAGCC